rnacentral:rRNA from 1 species
CUCAUUAAAUCAGUUAUAGUUUAUUUGAUGGUCUCUUUUUGUCUUUUUUUUACCUACUUGGAUAACCGUGGUAAUUCUAGAGCUAAUACAUGCGCAAGGUCCCGAGCGCGGGGGGGCGGGGCUUCACGGCCUCGUCCUCGCAUGCGCAGAGGGAUGUAUUUAUUAGGUUAAAAACCAGCAGCCGGCAACGGCUUCAACUCCUGGUGAUUCAUAGUAACUCUUUCGGAUCGCAUUCAUG